GCCGGGCAUGGUGGCGCAUGCCUGUAAUCCCAGCUACUCGGGAGGCUGAGGCAGGAGAAUCCCUCGAACCUAGGAGUUGGAGGUUGCAGUGAGUCAAGAUCAUGCCACUGCAUUCCAGCCUGGGCAACACAGUGAGACUCUGUCUCAA
rfam:Gorilla gorilla gorilla genomic chromosome, chr17, whole genome shotgun sequence